rnacentral:rRNA from 1 species
AUGAGAGUCACGAUUUUGCUUCCACAAGAGGCACGGUUGUGCUUUUGCGAAAGUCACGACCGUGCAUCUAGAAAAGGGAAAAACAAAAUGUGUUUUCUGUUUUUUUAUUUUCGUGAGAGUCACGGUUUUGCUUCCGCUAGAGGCACGGUUGUGCUUUCGCGAAGUCACGGCCAUGCCUCUAGGAAAGGGAAAAAAUACAUGUUUUUUGUUUUUUUUUCGCGAGAGUCACAGUUUUGCUUUCGCGAGAGGUACGGUUGUGCCUUCGUGAAAGUCACAGCCGUGCCUCUCGGAAACGAAAAAAACGUGUUUUUUGUUUUUUCCCUUUCACGAGAGUCACGGUUUUACUUUCACGAGAGGCACGGUUGUGAUUUCGCGAGAGGCACGGUUGUGAUUUCGCGAGAGGCACGGGCGUGUCUCUUUCGAAAAGGAAAAAAAACCAUGCUCCCGGUUCGGUUUUUUCAUCCAGUAUUUUUCGUCUGGUUUUUUCGUGAAAAAAAAGUUUGUCAAAAACUAUCGACAUGGGAUCUAGUUUUGAAGAUAUCGACGCGAAAAAUCCAAUAA